GGAAGAUCCGAAUGCUCAGAGAUGUAAACGGAUCGAUGUGGAUAUCCUUGGUAGCGACGCCGUCGGUGAACAAAGGAUUAGCGGAAGCAACCGUUUCUUCGGGUCGAGAUGCGACUCCGAAAGGGCUCGAUUCGUCAAGUGGAGCUUGGAUCAGAUUCUGCAAACGAUGCUUCAAGAGAAACUUGAAGAAGACGCUGUAGAGCUUGACGCCGACGCUCGGCAUGGCGGGCCGGAGCG
rnacentral:misc_RNA from 1 species